AAGCCUAUUCCCGUUAUGGUACGAACACAUCUCCUCAUAGAAUAAAUGCUUCGAGCUAAGUAUCUUCCUAACAUCGCCUUUCUCCUUCUCGGAGAGAUAGUCUAUGCCAUCGAGGAGAGCAGGGUUUUCGACAACCUGGCAAGAAGUUCCUCUCCCGAUGAUGUCGUUCAGCUUCUUGUACCGUUUGUUCAGAUCGUUGAACUUGUCCUCGCACUGCUGCGGAGACACGAGAAAGCCUCUC
rnacentral:lncRNA from 1 species